GGGGAUGUAGCUCAGUUGGCUAGAGCGCUUGACUGGCAGUCAAGAGGUCGUCGGUUCGAAUCCGAUCUUCUCCACNA
rnacentral:tRNA from 1 species